CAUUGAUAACAUGGAAAAGAAGGCCAGCCCUUACCAAAUAUCAGAGGCAAGGACAACAAAACAAACUUAACAAGAGGAUUAGUAUUAAAUGAACUGCUCGUUAAAGUUAAUCAGUUUGCUUCAAUUGAGGGACAUCACAGUUCAUGCAGAAACUUAAAGUUCUAUUUGAUGCAAGCAUGAGCACAUAUGAAUUUAUUUCCUCCUAGAUAAUCAAACUACUGUUUCCCAGCACCAAGUACUCCUCCCAUGCCUUCCUAGGAAUAUCAAGCAUCAGCAAGGGGCAAUGGUGCAGUAACUGUAGGAAAACUGAUUACCAAAAAGCAUCACAUUCUUGGUGCAACAAACACCACCUUCUGAUUUUUUAAAAAUCCCUCAAAACAUGACAACUAUGAGCAAAAUUGCCAUCACCUAAGAACUAACAAAAUUGGAAGCCUUAUGUGCUCUAUGAUCAAAUGGAUUAUCGUCCAAUAACUUUACAUGAAUGCUAGUCAGCAUCUUGUGCUUUGUUUUUUUACAGUAGAUGCCCACUUCCAGUAGUGGCUUGUAAAGUGUAAAC
rnacentral:misc_RNA from 1 species